CUUAACGGUAAGAAAAUUGAAAAAUGGUCUCUUCACGUCAGCCGGCUGGGGUGACCUUACGCGCAACUGUGUUAAUGGCCGCGCUCGCAUUAGGAUUUCCCCAUAUGAAAGCAUUAUUCAAGUGCAGAUUUCAAUAGAAAUUUACACUUUUAUAAAUUAACCUGGUUACACCCCCUGGCUUUCAAGCAGACAGCCGUCCUGUUAUUUCCUGGUUUGGUUAGCUCACUGAUUACCCAGAGCACAUGCCUUGCAAAGACAUAUCAUUGAGCUGCAUUGGGCAGUCUGCUUGGAAGGAACAGAAAGUCUGGGUUAGAAAGGGAGAAGUUGUAAAGACUGCAGACAACAGAAAUGCAUGUUUUGCAAGCUGUUUUGAGAUACAC